UUCCAGAUUCAAGAUUCAAGGGGGGAGAGCCAGAAUUCAAGAUUCAAGAUCCAAGAAACAAGCAUUUCUCUCUUGCACUCUCUAAAACAUGCAUUUGGUGUAGUUACUUGAGGAGGAAUUGAAGCCUCACCAGGUCAGCUCUCUCUCUCUCUUCAAUGUCAUUUUAAUUCGUCUUCACUGGCUUCCGUCUCUUCAAGUACAGCGAUUAUCUUUACCUCUCUCUUUCUCAUCAAUUACAGUCAUUGUAGCUCAUCUCCACCUUCCUCUUUAUCUCUCUCUAAUAAGAUAUUAGACAAUUUUUCUCCCGUCUCUAUGCAGUAAUUUACAGGCAGAUUGAUCGAUAUUUAGUCCUAUCUCUCUCUCUCUCUCUCUAACGUUCACCGGAAUUUAAAUCUUGCUCCGAUUAUUAAUUACAGGCAUUUUAAGCUAUCUUUACUCCCUUUUGUUCUCUUUACAGGUUUUUUUAACACACACUCUCUCUCUCUAGCAGGCAAUUUACGAUCUUUACUCCCCUCUAU
rnacentral:lncRNA from 1 species